rnacentral:rRNA from 1 species
UACAGAGGGUGCGAGCGUUAAUCGGAAUUACUGGGCGUAAAGCGCGCGUAGGCGGCUUUGCAAGUCGGGUGUGAAAUCCCCAGGCUUAACCUGGGAACUGCAUUCGAGACUGCAUUGCUAGAGUAUGGGAGAGGGAAGUGGAAUUUCCGGUGUAGCGGUGAAAUGCGUAGAUAUCGGAAGGAACGCCGGUGGCGAAAGCGACGUGCUGGAUCUCUUCUGACGCUGAGGCGCGAAAGCCAGGGGAGCGAACGGG